rnacentral:rRNA from 1 species
UACAUGGGGUGCAAACGUUGCUCGGAAUUAUUGGGCGUAAAGCGCACGUAGGCGGUUUGUUAAGUCGGAUGUGAAAUCCCUCGGCUCAACUGAGGAAGUGCAUCCGAAACUGGCAGGCUUGAGUACUAAAGAGGGUCGCGGAAUUCCCGGUGUAGAGGUGAAAUUCGUAGAUAUCGGGAGGAACACCGGUGGCGAAGGCGGCGACCUGGGUAGAUACUGACGCUGAGGUGCGAAAGCGUGGGGAGCGAACAGG